AGUAAAGAAGUGCCUAGAAAAAACAAGGCAAGACAUGGAAAGAAUUUUUAGUAUUAAAGCUGCAAUGGCAAUGUGGAACAUGAAUUAAUAUUUGUUUUCCUUUUAGAGCCUUUAUGAGGAGUAAAGGCUGCAAAGUUUCAAGGUGGACCUGUGCUAAAGUUCCUCAUCCACUGCAACAAGACGGCACAUCUUGUGGUGUUUUUGUAUGCAAGUUUGCAGAAAAAAUCUUGAGGAAUGAAGCAAUCACCUUCUCCAAUACAUAGAAAGGAAUCGCAAUCAUAAGACAAGAAAUAAAAGACACCCUAGUGCAGGAAUCAGAAGAUUUAAACAGUCUCUGUCAUUUCUGUGGACUACGCAAUGACCAAAGUGAUUCAGACGUAACACUUGCUUGGAUUGCCUGUGAUGGAUGUGACAGGUGGUACCACCAGUCAUGUGUUGGCAACCCACCAGUGAAUGAAGACUAUUAUUGCCCAAUGUGUAUGCGUUGAGUCGGCUGCAAUUUGGAAAAAACUUUCAAGCUAAUGCUGCUGAAAUGGAGGUCAAGGGGACUAUGAAGAGCUGGGACUAUGGCUCCAGCUGGGAGAUCAGAAGGGAGGACUUCAGGAGGCAGACACACUCCGUUACAGUAAUCAGCUGAUCCAGUCGGUAUCCAGACCAGACGGUGGACCUGCACCCAGGAACGACCACAACACAUCCCUGACUGUCAGCGGAGACCAUGUCAGCUAGAUGACAGAUCCCUGUGAAGACCUCAUUGAUGGCCCCAGCACAGAUCCUCAGCAAAGACUACGAGAACCAGACAAGCCCUCUGCGCAGACCCUUUUUACCAGCUUCACCUGCUGGCGUGAUAUUACUUCAAGCAGAAGAAGUUGGAUGAAAUAUUCUGAAUGAUAUCAAUCCACAAUCUGACUUGUGAUGCAGCCUGGAAUAAUCACACCAUGUUCACUCGGUUGGCCAGAUGAGAACUGGUUUCCUGACUGAGCCGGGUCUUGUUUGGGUUCCUUGUCACUGUUGCCUUUUGUCUUGCUUGGUUGAAGACACCUAAUAUUCAGCAAUAUUAUUGACUUGACUGCACUGACACCAUUUGAUAAGAACUGAACUGAAUUAUGACACAAUGUUUUAUAUA